rnacentral:rRNA from 1 species
UACGAAGGGGGCUAGCGUUGCUCGGAAUCACUGGGCGUAAAGCGCACGUAGGCGGCUUUUUAAGUCAGGGGUGAAAUCCUGGAGCUCAACUCCAGAACUGCCUUUGAUACUGAGAAGCUUGAGUCCGGGAGAGGUGAGUGGAACUGCGAGUGUAGAGGUGUAAUUCGUAGAUAUGUGGAGGAACACCAGUGGCGAAGGCGACUCUUUGGCCUGUAACUGACACUGAGGCGCGAAAGCGUGGGGAGCAAACAGG